rnacentral:lncRNA from 1 species
CCACAUCUUUAUAUAUUCAACAUUUUAUCUAUUUAUAGGUGAUAUAAGACUUAAUCAAUCAUACAUCAAAUCCAACGUAAAGAUACCUAUAUUAAUUGUCUAACUGUGACCAAAAUAUGAUUACUUUCGGUAAAGAGACCCUAAUAAUUUUUGGUGUGAGAUGUUAAAGAGGGAAGUACAAGUCUACUCAUGCUUUUUUUUUUGAAGGAAAGUCUACUCAUGCUAUAGAUGAUGUUAUAGCGAGACCAACAAAUUCUAGUUUAUUUUUAGUCUUUGGGUGAUGGAGUUAGAAUUUCAGACAUGAACCUGCAAAUUCCGAGUAUGAUAAAUCAUGUUAAAGAUUUUGAGCUUGUGGAUGAAACCUUAGAUGCCUUCUCAUCUUUUUCAAAAAAAUAGCUAACAUUCUACCUCCAAAUGAUGAUCUCAGUAAUGAUAUGUGUAGUUGUACUGCAGUUCGUUUUUCUAUUGGAAAUACAUAUAGGAACCUUUGCAAUUAUCAACAGCCAGAGGAAUUGAGGUGGAAGCAAAUAUGGAAUUCAGGAGCAAUAUGUAAUUUCUGUAGAAUUGCAUAUUGAUUCCCUGAUGAUUGGAAAUGUCCUCAGAAGUAAUAAUAAAGGCAAUCCUUGUGGGAGAUCUUUAGUGGUGAAAAUUUGUUGCUUGCUUGAAAUGGAGCGGGAGGUUGUGGUUGAUCACUCAUACUGUAAAGCUAAUCAAUGUGUUGACGCAUUAGCUAAUUUGGUCUCUCUUUAAAUAAUGCUAUUGUUUAUUAUGAGUUUGUUUGCUCAGAUUGGUCAUUGGUUGUUGUUGAUGUAACGAAAGCUUCGAAGUUAUAUCCCUCGUGUUAUUGUCGUGUUAGGGGGCGUUUGGUAGAAAGAAACAAAAAUACAUUCCAGGGAAUAGAGCUUGGGAAAAAAUAAUUCAUAUGUUUGGUAGAAAGGAACAAAAUAAUAUGCCUAGAAAUAAUUAAUAUCCAGGAAUAUUCUUAACUCACAUUCUAAUCAUUUUUAUUCCCAUGAAAAAAGGAUGGGAAAAUUAUAUUCCCAGGAAAAGGAGAACCCACGUCCUGAAAAAAAAACUCAUGUUUACCUCCAUUUUACCAUGUGUUCCCCCACGUUCUAACAAGUUAAUGUAACAGUUUUCAUUUUUUGAGUAAUGGUCUAUCCAUGUAACGGU